CCUACGGGGGGCAGCAGUGGGGGAUAUUGCACAAUGGGGGGAACCCUGAUGCAGCGACGCCGCGUGGGUGAAGGAGCGUUUCGGCGCGUAAAGCCCUAUCGGCAGGGAAGAAGGAGGACGGUACCUGACUAAGAAGCCCCGGCUAACUACGUGCCAGCAGCCGUGGUAAUACGUAGGGGGCAAGCGUUAUCCGGAUUUACUGGGUGUAAAGGGGGCGCAGACGGCAGCGCAAGCCAGGAGUGAAAGCCCAAGGCUUAACCAUGGGACUGCUCUGGAAACUGUGGAGCUUGAGUGCGGGAGGGGCG
rnacentral:rRNA from 1 species